rnacentral:lncRNA from 1 species
UAGGAGAAAAAUGGGGCCUCACAUGUGGAUUACUGGUACCAAAGAACAGCAGAUCCCAUAGCUCCAGAGGCCAGAGGAGGACCUUAAGGGAAGGAAGACCUUCCUAAUUAUCUAAUAGAUCCAGCACAGUUCCUCUGGGCAGCUCUGCUGCUGCUGCUGGCUGGCCACAAGGCACUCAGGAUGUAGGAGGCAUCUAGACCCACAGUCAGA